UACGGGGGGGGGAAGCGUUGUUCGGAAUUACUGGGCGGAAAGGGCUCGUAGGCGGCCAACUAAGUCAGACGUGAAAUCCCUCAGCUUAACUGGGGAACUGCGUCUGAUACUGGAUGGCUUGGAUUCGGGAGAGGAAUGCGGAAUUCCAGGUGUAGCGGUGAAAUGCGUAGAUAUCUGGAGGAACACCGGUGGCGAAGGCGGCAUUCUGGACCGACAUUGACGCUGAGGAGCGAAAGCCAGGGGAGCAAACGGG
rnacentral:rRNA from 1 species